AGCAGCCGCGGUAAUUCCAGCUCCAAUAGCGUAUAUUAAAGUUGUUGCAGUUAAAAAGCUCGUAGUUGAAUUUCGGGGUUAGUACGCUGGUCAUGCCUUCGGUAUGUACUGGUGUUACCGAUUCCUACCUUCUGAAGAACCGUCAUGUCAUUAAUUUGGUGUGGCGGGGAAUCAGGACUGUUACUUUGAAAAAUUAGAGUGUUUAAAGCAGGCUCGCGCUUGAAUACAUUAGCAUGGAAUAAUGAAAUAGGACGUUCGAUCCUAUUUUGUUGGUUUCUAGGAUUGACGUAAUGAUUAAUAGGGAUAGUUGGGGGCAUUAGUAUUCAAUUGUCAGAGGUGAAAUUCUUGGAUUUAUUGAAGACUAACACUGCGAAAGCAUUUGCCAAGGAUGUUUUUCAUUAAUCAAGAACGAAAGUUAGGGGAUCGAAGACGAUCAGAUACCGUCGUAGU
rnacentral:rRNA from 1 species